CCCCCUCCCCCCCCCCCGCCCCGCGUCUCUCCCCCUGGUCCAAACCCUAGGCCCGCGCCCGCCGCCGCCGCCGCUUGCCCAGGCCAUCCUCCCGCUGUGAAAGAAGCGGCCAGAGAGGGAGGGCGUUGCCGGGUGUGCGCGUGCCCCUCCGCGGAUUCGCGUCGCGGUUGCCGGAGGCGUGGGCGCCGCGGGUCAACCACGCCGGGGAGGAUGGGGGCGCCACAAGCCUCGUCGGAGGUCGCCUCUCCAUCCGCUACGGCUCCGGCGCUCGUCCUCCUCACCGGCGGUCGCCUCUCCAUCCGCCACAGCCCCGGCGCUCGUCCUCCUCACCAUUAUCACCCAGCGAUCCUCCCCGCCCUGGCGCGUCCUCUGACCUCAACGGUGGCUGCUAAACCCGCAGUAUGCUAGGGAAUGGAUUCACAGUCACAAUGGAGUACUGGGUGCGACAUCCAGCGCAGGAGCCUAUGUGAUGUGUACCUAUGUUGGUGCCUUGCCUUUACAGAGAUCCAUUAUGCCUUCCUCUCGAUAAGCAAGACAAGCUUUUACUUGUACCCUGGAACAUGGAGCGGCUCGACGCGCCGGCCACGUGCGCCGAGGAGCCGGCUGCUAGCAAGGAGUGAGAGGCGGAGCGUGGUCGUUGUGGCAGGCGGCGCGCUACCAGCACCACAGCAAGAUGGGAUGCGCACAGGAGGGAGUGGCUGGGCAAGGUGAUAAUGGCCUUCUCGAGUCAGCGUCAGCAGCUGACCAUUGACGGUGACACAAGGGGGGCACGCUCUAUGGUGUUGCCGUCAUAUGCCGCCAUAUGUAGUCACAGCUCCACCGGAUGUCGGCGACCCGCCCCACCGGAUGACGCCAUACCUGGUGCAGGGCAUGUGCACAACGCUCGAGGACAGCACUUACUGCCUCUGUGACGCUGUUGGUGCCGGGAAGGAUGAGAGGCUCGAGGCAGACCUGAAACUAAUUUGGUUGGGGGCAACAUCGGACCAGUGAUAUUGAGGUGACGUUGGCCAUGGGCGCAGCUGUCCACAGCUAGGAGUGGGAUUGUUAGUUUGUUACAACAUAUACAACACGGAAGGGUGAUUUAAACAAGCCAGAAUUGUUUCGGCUAUGAUUCGCAACAUAGAUGGGGGAUUUUAAAAUGUCAGACAAGAAAGUUAUCGGCCUGUUUGUUGAUGACUUUGGGUCUCCGAGCAUCUCUGGAGCCUGCUGGACGCUGCUCUUGCUGCUUGGUUCCCAAGUUAACCCAUAUCUUGCUCUAUUUACUCUUGCUUGUCAUGUGUUUAUUUAUCUAUUAUUCUUAUGUGUUCAUCCCUUUGUCUGGCAUGCGUUGGUGUCUUCUGGGUUAUUCUUUAAGAAUCAUAUGGGUCUGUUCUGUUGGUGUCAUGUUUUUUUAUAACUAUGUAAUUAAUUACAAACAUAUAUUUAGAUUAGAUUAUCCUUCUUAGAUUAGAUAGCAUAAUUAAUGGGAUGUAAAUAUUUGAUUUCGCAGCCAGGUUUUUCAUUAGUUUUGUUCCAAGAAUAGUACUUUUGUCUUUGAUUUCUAUGUAUAAAACAGAGAAUAAAAAACUUCUUGCCGAGGUGCACCUGAUCCCAGUUUUUCUUUGGUACGGUCAGUGUUUGUACCUUCUGGUUGUUUCCAUUGAAUGGUUUUCAAACAUUUAUUAGGGAUUCAUAGGAAGGGCUAAAAACCGCAUAAGAAUAGCCACUUCUGCUUGAAGAAAACUCCAUGGAGUUCCGAUUCGGAGCUUAGCUUGAGCAACUGUUCAUUUCUUGGUUUUUCUUAAUUUGGAAUGCAAGUAUGUUGCCUUUUUUUACAAGAAUUCUUCACCUAUUCAAGCAGCUAAAUUUUGUGUAAAUUAGAACAAAAAAAAACUAUAUCAACAUUGUGGUGAACUGAUAAACAGAAAGAAAGAUUAGCAAAUAGUGCACUCACACAAAUCACAAAAACCGAAAAAACUAUAUCAGCAUUGCGGCUUUCAGUGAUUAUCAACUGCAAUGUAAAUGUGUAUUUUCGUCCAGUCAGCCUGCCACCUCUCUUGCUAUCUAGCUUACUGUGGCCUGUGGUCGCCCAGAUCCUGGCAGGGAUAGUAGUAUGUGGCCAGAGCAGGGCAUCUAUCUCGGCGACCCAGCUAUCAGCACAAUACUCCAAGGUAUUUGGAUCCUUGCCUUGCGCCUGCAAGCCCAUCGCCUAUCCUCACAGGCACUAGCAUAAAAUUCAUAUGCUUCUCUACUUCAAACCAAAGGACCCUUGUUAUAGAAGGAAAUUGCUUUUAUUCAUGUAUUUUAGAAGUAUAUACAUUCUUGAACCGAUGCGAAAAUUGUGUUGUAUUUCAUACUUAACCAAAUGCAAAUCAACGUUCUUUAGCACUAUAUGCCAUGUUAUAGAAAAAAAGGUGCUUAAUUCCGAAUAUCUUUUGUGCAUUCUUGGUUUCAAGAGCAGGCACAUGUUUGGUUGGGUUCCCAAUGCUUUAUGAAGCAUCAUGAUCAGGGAACAAAUACAAUGCUUUGUUUGAUUUCUGUUCAUAUUAUCCCUCUAAAUAUUAAGUGGGCUUCUCUUCAAGUGUGCCUGAUUAUCGGUGAUAUAACCUUUGGACCAACAAUGCUCGACAUUUUAGGGAUUUACUCUCGCAUCGACUAAACGCAUGGUUCAUUGCUGACAGUAGUGUCUGGAGCGGGUAUUUCUUUUUGGAAACCACAUUAGAGCUUAUGGGCAUCAACAAUUUUAUCAAUGAGGAAGUAUUCCAAGCCAAGGUCACUGCUGAGUAGACAUGAAGAGGAUGAAUCCUACUUUGAUGAGCCCUCAUACAUCAUGCUUCACCUUCCUUCAAUGUUAGAGUAAUUUGUGAACAAGGAAAUAUCAAGCUGAUGCACUUGGCCAUUUAGGAGCUGAUGAUCCGGAAGAAAUGGUAGAAUUAGAUAUUUCAUAGGCAUAGUAAUUUUCUUCUAAUGCCGGGACUCGAGUUAGAUCCGUAUCAGGUAAAGACUCCAGUCUACAUGUAUGUUCACUCUCUGAAUGUAAUUCAGAAAGUUGAGGGUUCCGAUCUGCAUGUUAGCCCACACCUUGCACAAAGUGAACACUCACAUGUAUGCGGAUACUGGUUUUGCUUAUGGUGCCUAUCAACUCAAACUAAUUUGACAUGUGUAUCUUAUUCGUUUUCGCCCCACCGGUCAAUUAUGUCUCGCUUAAAUCUGCCUUAUAAUCUCAUGCUGAUAUUAAGCAUCAUUA